rnacentral:sRNA from 1 species
ACGAUAGUCACACCUCUCCUUUGGGCCUAGCAGGGCCAGAGAAAGACGGAAUCACUCUACCCACUCAGGUUGCCCAGAGAGCACUUUAGGUUCUGACCCGCGUGGGGCGCGAGGUCCCCCGUGGGGCAGCUAGGUGCCUCCAAGAAACCCCGCCCCAGAGGACCCGCACGAGUUGCUGCCAUUUUUCGCUGAAGCCCCUGCCCUGGGGCUGGUGUUCUUCUCUAUGAUUCUACCAAUCGUCGGCAUUUUUUUCCUCCCUUCUUUCUUUUUAGGAAGGCGCUGGGGUGUGCGGCGGCAACGGCGGCGGUGAAGGGAUCCUCUUGUGGUAUCUCCUCGUGGGUUCCUGUCUUGAAGGAUUUCUUCUCCGCCUCAACUUUGUGUUCAAGUAGCGCUUUGGGGGUUGGGUUGGUUUUCAUAGCCCCCACCCCCGGCCCUCUCCUUUUAAAGGGUGUGUGGAGUUCAGAGGAUGGGUGGAGAGCGGGCUUGGCCGGAACUGAAUUGGUGGAGGUAAAAGGGGAACGGAGGACCUUAAGCUCUGGCCACUUCGGCCCAGGGAACCCACUUUAUUUUUGUCCAAGGAAAAGCUGCAGGGGGGAGGAUUCUUUUUAGGAAGUCUACUCUGCCGGACCCUGAUUUUUGGGUUGGAUGCUUGAGAGCUUUGUUUCCCUUGUUCCGAGAGUGGCCCAGCUGGGUCUGAAUCGACUCCCUCCCCUUUCGAUCCCCUCCUCAUUUUCCAGCCCGGAGAAAUAGGGGAGUGGGGGCCCAAGAACGAGAAGACGAGAACGCGUCGCCCUGCGCUAUGUCAGAAUGGGGCGGGUGUGAGGGGAACAGCUCUCUUGCUAUCAGCUCAGGAGUAUGAGCCUCCCGGAGGACGGCAUGAGUUUUGGACACUUCAGGAGUCCUCAGCUAGUGACAUGGUCGGUCACUGCUUCUGUUCGGAACAGAGAUCCCCCUGAGAUAGAAUACAGAAGUAAUAUGACUUCUCCAACACUCCUGGAUGCCAACCCCAUGGAGAACCCAGCACUGUUUAAUGACAUCAAGAUUGAGCCCCCAGAAGAACUUUUGGCUAGUGAUUUCAGCCUGCCCCAAGUGGAACCAGUUGACCUCUCCUUUCACAAGCCCAAGGCUCCUCUCCAGCCUGCUAGCAUGCUACAAGCUCCAAUACGUCCCCCCAAGCCACAGUCUUCUCCCCAGACCCUUGUGGUGUCCACGUCAACAUCUGACAUGAGCACUUCAGCAAACAUUCCUACUGUUCUGACCCCAGGCUCUGUCCUGACCUCUCAGAGCACUGGUGGCCAGCAGAUCUUACAUGUCAUUCACACUAUCCCCUCAGUCAGUCUGCCAAAUAAGAUGGGUGGCCUGAAGACCAUCCCAGUGGUAGUGCAGUCUCUGCCCAUGGUGUAUACUACUUUGCCUGCAGAUGGGGGCCCUGCAGCCAUUACAGUCCCACUCAUUGGAGGAGAUGGUAAAAAUGCUGGAUCAGGUAAGUAACAAUAUUGCCCCUUUCCUGGCCUUCCUGAAUCUAUUCCCUUUUUGAGUCAUCCUAUCUCCUGUCUCUUUUCACUUCCUCCAAUUAUUCUUGCACACUGCUUCAAAAGUAAUCUUUCAAAAGUACUGUUUUUUAUCAUGUUUUUUUAAUGCUUAAGAAUGUACAAUGACUCUUGAUUAGACCAUGCUUCUCAAACAAGUAUGCAUAUCUAUCAGUGACAUAUCAAACAACUUCCUGGAACUUCCAUAUUAUUUGAUAUUAAAUAAUUUAAGCAUUUUAUAUUUAAAAUAUGAUUAUCUUGUAUUACAAAAUGCAAAAUUUAAAAACCUGUUAAGAUAAACCACAUACUUCAAAAAUAGUUGAAGCUUACUAAAGGCAUCCACUCUCAGACUCUUCAGGAGAAUGUGUUCAUUUUAUGCCAUUCAGAAUGCUUUGGUGGAAAAGUUGAGAACAAUAUUUCUAUCUCAAACAUACUUAGCCAGUAUUAGCUCCUGCCUCUACCAAUACUUUCCCUUUUCUCUUCCCUACAAAAGAAGUAAUUGAAAUAUUGUCAUCUUCCCUGUAUUCUUCCUCAUUUGGCAUCUAUCACUUUCCAUUUUACUUAUUUAUUUGCCUGUAUCACAAGUGUCUGGGCAUUAUUCACAACUGAAUUGUAAAUUCCUGAAAAAUAAUACUCUAUCUUAAUUUUUUUUAUGUAUGCCUUCAGAGAACUUAACACAGUGCUAGUAGUUGUCUUGCAACAGAUAAUUUGAUGAACAAACAAACUUGAAAAUUUGUCCAAGAGAGAAUUCAAAUGCUACAAUCUUCCAUUUUAUUUUAUUUUAAAAAUAAGUUCAGAAUUCAGAAAGGUAUAAAUUAAGUCUCUCUUCCACCACAAUCCCCCAACCACUAGUUCUCCUCCCAGAGGUGUAUCUGUUUUAGUUUGUAAUCAGGAAUGAUCAAGGAAAAUUAUGUGGCCUCUAAAGGAGGCUGAUAAUGUUUUGCAUAAAUCGGAAAGGCCAAGGGGUGGAAAUGACUAGGAAGCAGAUUUCAGCUUACUAUAAAAGAGUAUCUACCCUUGAAAUUUGAUGCCCUGUACUAAAUGUAGGAGGCUGAAAAACAACAUACUACUAAGCAUCAAGUUGCUGAGACUCUGCACUGGUCUUCUGAAUACAAAUAUUAUCAUUGACUAGUGGUUAAUUGUGGUAAUGAUAAGUGUUCAUAAUCUUAUUUUGAGAUAUGAUAUCCAUUCCAUAUAUGAAGGGAGAGCCAAACAAACAAACCAAAAAAAGGAAACAAACAAAAAAGGAAAUAAAAUUCCCCAUGUGAGAGUUUGCUGAGAUAAAGGCAGUGGUAGCAUCAAAGGAUGGUUUGAAGGAGCUUUAAAUAUUCCCCAUAAUAUCAUCAGUCCAUCAGAGCCACUCUAAAUAAACAGGAUAAAUUUUAAAUGUGCUCAGUGUGGUUCCAAGCUAAGGGCAUUGGCCCAAUGGUGUCUGUAUUAGUUCGUUUUCAUGCUGCUGAUAAAGACAUACUCGAGACUGGGAAGAAAAAGAGGUUUAAUUGGACUUACAGUUCCACAUGGCUGGGGAGGCCUCGGAAUCAUGGCGGGAGGCAAAAGGCACUUCUUACAUGGUGGCAGCAAGAGAAAAGGAAGAAAGAAUAGUGGAAACCCCUGAUAAGCCCAUCAGAUCUCAUGAGACUUAUUCAGUAUCAUGAGAAUAGCAGGGGAAAACUGGCCCCCAUGAUUCAAUUAACUCCUCCUGAGUCCCUCCCACAACAUGUGGAAAUUCUGAGAGAUACAAUGCAAGUUGAGAUUUGGGUGGGGGCACAGCCAAACCACAUCAAUAUCCAAAAUGGGGGGCUUACUAAACCUUAGGGGGCACAUAUAAAACAAUUGGAGUGCAAGAAGAAAGUAUCAAAGUUUGUAUUUUCUUACCCUUAAAAAUUGACAGGUAAUAUUGUAUGUUUUUAUCAUCUAUAGCAUGAUGUUUUGAAGUACAUAUGCAUUGUGGAAUGGUUAAAUCUAGCUAAAUAACGAAUGCAUUACCUUAUUAUCAUUUUUGUGGUGAGAACGCUUAAUAUCCAUUCUCUUUACAAUUUUAAUAAAUAAAAUGUAUCAUCAUUAACUAUACUUGCCUUGCUAUACAAUAGAUCUCUUGAAAUGGAUUCCUCCUAUCUAACUAUAAUUAUGUAUCCUUUGACCAACAUCUCCCCAUCCCCCUCCCCACUAGCCACCCCAGCCUCUGGUAACUACCAUUCUACUCUACUUGCAUGAGAUUAACUUUUUUAGAUUCCACAUAUGAGUGAGAUCAUGCACUAUUUGUCCUUCUGUGCCUGGCAUAUUUCACUUAACAUAAUGUCCUCCUGGUUCAUCUAUGCCCUCACAAAUGGCAGGAUUUUAUUCUUUGUUAUAGCUGAAUAAUAUUAUAUUGUGUAUAUAUAUGUCGCAUUUCAUUUAUUCAUUCAUUUGUUGAUAGAUAUUUUAGAUUGGUUCCACAUCUUGGCUAUUGUGAAUAAUGCUGCACUAAACAGGGAUGCAGAUAUCUUUUGGGCAUGUGAUUUUAUUUCCUUUGGAUAGAUACCCAAAAGGGAGAUUGCCAGAUCAUACGGUAGUUCUAAUUUUAAUUUUUUGAGGAAUCUCCAUACUAUUUUCCAUAAAGGCUAUAAAUAGUUUACAUUCCCAUCAACAGUGCGUAAGGGUUCCCUUUUCUCCACAUACUCACCAGCACUUACUGUCUUUUGUCUUUUUGAUAAUAAUCACUCUAACUUAAGUGAGAUGACGUACUACUUUUUGUUUGUUUUCUUAUAAUGUGUACAAAAUUGUAGGAUACCAAUACAUGUAUAUCACAUACAUGCACAAACAUGCACACCUCAAGAUACAUGCUUAAAACUUUUUAGUGAAUGAUAUGCAAAGUAUAGAGACAACUCUUUUAACCAAAUACUUGUUCCCCACCUUAUCACCACCCCCAAGUUUCUUCUCUAUAGAAAUUUUGAAGGUUUCACUGGAUCUAGGAGACUGUUGACCACCUGAUUGAGUUUUGUGAGGAAUUAGAAACAUCAGUGGUGAUAAUAAGGAAUAUUUGACAGCUUCUCCCAACAUAGGUGGAAAGGAAGGUUGUAUCAAGCACCUACUAGGUGGUAGGUGUAUGUUUCAUCUCAUUGACUCAUUUCUAUUUAGGAGCAGAAAGGCCAAGGUGGAUGUUCUCACAUCUGGACUAAUCCUAGAAUUUGAUUUUAGGACAGCCAGGAGCUAUUCAGUGAGUUCAAUUCAACACACACACACACACACACGUUGAAACUAACUUUUCAGCAGACCCUGUCCUGGUAGCUGGAGAUAGAGAGAUGAAUCAUACCCAGCCCAUAUCCUAGAGACACUCUCAUUUGAUACCACUCAGUGGUAUCAGAACUCUUCAUACUGCUCUUACUUUAAAGGCAUUUCUGUUCCCUGCUAUGCAAAAAAAAUAAA